rnacentral:rRNA from 1 species
AUUGAACGCUGGCGGCAGGCCUAACACAUGCAAGUCGAGCGGAUGAAGGGAGCUUGCUCCUGGAUUCAGCGGCGGACGGGUGAGUAAUGCCUAGGAAUCUGCCUGGUAGUGGGGGAUAACGUCCGGAAACGGGCGCUAAUACCGCAUACGUCCUGAGGGAGAAAGUGGGGGAUCAUUGGUCCUCACGCUAUCUGAUGAGACUAGGUCGCAUUAGCUAGUUGGUGGGGUAAAGGCCUACCAAGGCGACGAUCCGUAACUGGUCUGAGAGGAUGAUCAGUCACACUGGAACUGAGACACGGUCCAGACUCCUACGGGAGGCAGCAGUGGGGAAUAUUGGACAAUGGGCGAAAGCCUGAUCCAGCCAUGCCGCGUGUGUGAAGAAGGUCUUCGGAUUGUAAAGCACUUUAAGUUGGGAGGAAGGGCAGUAAGUUAAUACCUUGCUGUUUUGACGUUACCAACAGAAUAAGCACCGGCUAACUUCGUG